AGAUAGAACUGCAAGAGCUGCUAACUCAUGCUUCCGUGCCUACAACCACGGCUCUCUC
rnacentral:tRNA from 1 species